rnacentral:tRNA from 1 species
GCUUGUGUAGCACAGUCGGUAGUGCAGUUCAUUCGUAAUGAACAGGUCGCAGGUUCGAAUCCUGUCACAAGCU